UGGGGAAUUUUGGACAAGGGGGGAAACCCUGAUCCAGCCAUCCCGCGUGUGCGAUGAAGGCCUUCGGGUUGUAAAGCACUUUUGGCAGGAAAGAAACGUCAUGGGUUAAUACCCCGUGAAACUGACGGUACCUGCAGAAUAAGCACCGGCUAACUACGUGCCAGCAGCCGCGGUAAUACGUAGGGUGCAAGCGUUAAUCGGAAUUACUGGGCGUAAAGCGUGCGCAGGCGGUUCGGAAAGAAAGAUGUGAAAUCCCAGAGCUCAACUUUGGAACUGCAUUUUUAACUACCGGGCUAGAGUGUGUCAGAGGGAGGUGGAAUUCCGCGUGUAGCAGUGAAAUGCGUAGAUAUGCGGAGGAACACCGAUGGCGAAGGCAGCCUCCUGGGAUAACACUGACGCUCAUGCACGAAAGCGUGGGGAGCAAACAGG
rnacentral:rRNA from 1 species